CGGAGGCAAAGGGAGCGGGUGCGGAUGUGCUGUAGGUCCAGAGAGCAACGGGCAGCCAGAUAGCUCAUGUCAGGAGGUAACACAGCCAUGGCCGGCCUGGGAGGGCUUCAAAGAGAAGCAUUCGGGAGUAGUGGCCAAAGCCUGGGAUAAGUCAGAGGGUCUGGAAGGGCGUAUGAGAUGAGAAGAAGCAUACAACCACCCAGACAUAAAUCCAGCAGGGCACUGAAGUCGGACCUGCUCCAGGACACUGCCUAGCUGAGUGGGUUUCCGUGCUGGACUCUUGCAGGAGGCCGGGCUUCAGUGUGCCUGUGUAGUUUAGAGGAUUUGUCACUGUCGGACUUUGGACAGUGGCCACUCAGAACCACACACAUUUAAGUUUGGAAUGGACACGAAAGCAACACCAGAAACAGAUGGAUGGCUUGAGGGAAGAAAAGCAUUGGUCAGAAGAAGCUUCUAAAGCCUCUGGAAGAUCACAAGGCUGCCAGCCUGCAAGUGUGCCAACACUGAGAACUGUGGAGUCUUUGGCACUUCUUUUACAAGCAAAUUCCUGGGCUCACCAGCGCUUCCAGCUCCUUAGAGAUCAGCACCCAGAA